AGGAUCAUUGUGAAAAAAAAAAAAACAGUAAAAUUUGUCCUUCUUCAGGAUUAUUUAUUGUAUAAUAGGUAUGAUAGUUUUCUAGACGACUUAAGAAUGAAGAGAUAAUGACCUGGGAAUUAAGCCAAAAGUGAGAGCAAUAACGUUUUAAUUCACAUUAUAUAAUUUUAUUUACAUUAUAUUCCCUCGCAUUGUGUUCUCCCCUUAAUUCAGAGCGUGUGCACAGCGCUUUGCUUACAUGCUGUUUUUUUACUGUUGAAAUGCGCCAUCUACAGGCGGCCGCAUGUAUGUUCAGCCAGCAUUUAAGGUGGAACGGAAAUGUGAAUAAGACACUGGCGAAUAAGAAGCUAACUUCAGCCUCGUCCUCCAGCCGGUCUGACCAGAGUUCUUCUUCCCUGUUAUAAGAGCCUCUUCCCCGGCCUGUGUCGACUCCGUCCGCCCUGUUUUUAAAUCUGAGCACUGGAACUCCGAGCUGGUGAAACGGAUCAUGGAAUUACUUUUUCUGUGUGAAGAUGAGUGGUGAGGAUGCUACCGGAGACAGGUGUCGAUGAGAAUCAGAUCAAGAAUCAAGGACCCCUGGCCCCAGGAUGACUCUUGGUCUCUACAAAGACCUUGAGAACCUGGGUGGCUCGCCCACUGCCAUUCCUAUAGGAACCAGGUCAGU